AGUAACACGUGAGUACCUGCCCCCAAGAGUGGGAUAGCCCCGGGAAACUGGGAUUAAUACCGCAUAAAGCAAUAAAGCAGCAAUGCGCUUGGGGAUGGGCUCGCGUCCUAUUAGUUAGUUGGUGAGGUAACGGCUCACCAAGGCGAUGACGGGUAGCCGGUCUGAGAGGAUGUCCGGCCACACUGGAACUGAGACACGGUCCAGACACCUACGGGUGGCAGCAGUCGAGAAUCAUUCACAAUGGGGGAAACCCUGAUGGUGCGACGCCGCGUGGGGGAUAAGGUCUUCGGAUUGUAAACCCCUGUCAUGUGGGACAUUAAAAGAUAGUACCACAAGAGGAAGAGACGGCUAACUCUGUGCCAGCAGCCGCGAUAAUACAGAGGUCUCAAGCGUUGUUCGGAAUCACUGGGCGUAAAGCGUGCGUAGGCGGUUUCGUAAGUCGUGAGUGAAAGGCGGGGGCUCAACCCCCGGACUGCACAUGAUACU
rnacentral:rRNA from 1 species